rnacentral:rRNA from 1 species
GAUGAACGCUAGCUACAGGCUUAACACAUGCAAGUCGAGGGGAAACGAUAUUGGAAGCUUGCUUCCGAUAGGCGUCGACCGGCGCACGGGUGAGUAACGCGUAUCCAACCUGCCCACCACUUGGGGAUAACCUUGCGAAAGUAAGACUAAUACCCAAUGAUAUCCCACGAAGGCAUCCGAAUGGGAUUAAAGAUUUAUCGGUGAUGGAUGGGGAUGCGUCUGAUUAGCUUGUUGGCGGGGUAACGGCCCACCAAGGCUACGAUCAGUAGGGGUUCUGAGAGGAAGGUCCCCCACAUUGGAACUGAGACACGGUCCAAACUCCUACGGGAGGCAGCAGUGAGGAAUAUUGGUCAAUGGGCGAGAGCCUGAACCAGCCAAGUAGCGUGCAGGAUGACGGCCCUAUGGGUUGUAAACUGCUUUUAUAAGGGAAUAAAGUUAGUCUCGUGAGACUUUUUGCAUGUACCUUAUGAAUAAGGACCGGCUAAUUCCGUG